GUAGAUAUUAGAAAGAAUACCAAUUGCGAAGGCAGCUUUCUGGAUCAUUACUGACACUGAGGAACGAAAGCAUGGGUAGCGAAGAGGAUUAGAUACCCUCGUAGUCCAUGCCGUAAACGAUGUGUGUUAGACGUUGGAAAUUUAUUUUCUGUGUCGCAGCGAAAGCGAUAAACACACCGCCUGGGGAGUACGACCGCAAGGUUAAAACUCAAAUGAAUUGACGGGGACCCGCACAAGUAGUGGAGCAUGUGGUUUAAUUCGAAGAUACGCGCAGAACCUUACCAACACUUGACAUGUUCGUCGCGACUUUAAGAGAUUAAAGUUUUCGGUUCGGCCGGACGAAACACAGGUGCUGCAUGGCUGUCGUCAGCUCGUGUCGUGAGAUGUUGGGUUAAGUCCCGCAACGAGCGCAACCCUCACUUUUAGUUGCCAUCAUUUAGUUGGGCACUCUGAAAGAACUGCCAGUGAUAAGCUGGAGGAAGGUGGGGAUGACGUCAAGUCCUCAUGGCCCUUACGUGUUGGGCUACACACGUGCUACAAUGAUAUCUACAACAGGAAGCAAGACGGCGACGUUAAGCAAAUCCUUAAAAGAUAUCUCAGUUCGGAUUGCACUCUGCAACUCGAGUGCAUGAAGCUGGAAUUACUAGUAAUCGUGGAUCAGCGUGCCACGGUGAAUGCGUUCCCGGGUCUUGUACACACCGCCCGUCACACCAUGGGAGUUGGUUCUACCUUAAGGCAAGGUUUAAUACCCUUGACCACGGUAUAGUCAGCGACUGGGGUGAAGUCGUAACAAGGUAACCGUA
rnacentral:rRNA from 1 species